rnacentral:rRNA from 1 species
UACGUAGGUGGCAAGCGUUGUCCGGAAUUAUUGGGCGUAAAGCGCGCGCAGGUGGUUUCUUAAGUCUGAUGUGAAAGCCCACGGCUCAACCGUGGAGGGUCAUUGGAAACUGGGGAACUUGAGUGCAGGAGAGAAGAGUGGAAUUCCACGUGUAGCGGUGAAAUGCGUAGAGAUGUGGAGGAACACCAGUGGCGAAGGCGACUCUUUGGCCUGUAACUGACACUGAGGCGCGAAAGCGUGGAGAGCAAACAGG